rnacentral:rRNA from 1 species
CAAUAGCGUAUAUUAAAGUUGUUGCGGUUAAAAAGCUCGUAGUUGGAUUUCUGUUGGGAGCGACCGGUCCGCCCAUUGGGUGUGUAUCUGGCUUGUUCUCGGCAUCUUCUUGGUGAACGUUGCUGCACUUGACUGUGUGGAGCGCUACCCAGGACUUUUACUUUGAGGAAAUUAGAGUGUUUCAAGCAGGCAUAUGCCUUGAAUACAUUAGCAUGGAAUAAUAAGAUAGGACCUCGGUUCUAUUUUGUUGGUUUCUAGAGCUGAGGUAAUGAUUAAUAGGGAUAGUUGGGGGCAUUCGUAUUUAACUGUCAGAGGUGAAAUUCUUGGAUUUGUUAAAGACGGACUACUGCGAGAGCAUUUGCCAAGGAUGUUUUCAUUGA